rnacentral:rRNA from 1 species
CAGUAGCCGCGCGAAUACAGAGGGUGCGAGCGUUAAUCGGAUUUACUGGGCGUAAAGCGUGCGUAGGCGGCUUCUUAAGUCGGAUGUGAAAUCCCUGAGCUUAACUUAGGAAUUGCAUUCGAUACUGGGAAGCUAGAGUAUGGGAGAGGAUGGUAGAAUUCCAGGUGUAGCGGUGAAAUGCGUAGAGAUCUGGAGGAAUACCGAUGGCGAAGGCAGCCAUCUGGCCUAAUACUGACGCUGAGGUACGAAAGCAUGGGGAGCAAACAGGAUUAGAUACCCGUGUAGUCCCUGUCUCUUAUAA